rnacentral:rRNA from 1 species
UGAGGAAUAUUGGUCAAUGGACGCAAGUCUGAACCAGCCAAGUAGCGUGCAGGAUGACGGCCCUAUGGGUUGUAAACUGCUUUUAUGUGGGAAUAAAUUGGCGCACGUGUGCGCCAUUGCAUGUACCUCAUGAAUAAGGACCGGCUAAUUCCGUGCCAGCAGCCGCGGUAAUACGGAAGGUCCGGGCGUUAUCCGGAUUUAUUGGGUUUAAAGGGAGCGUAGGCUGGAGAUUAAGUGUGUUGUGAAAUGUAGACGCUCAACGUCUGACUUGCAGCGCAUACUGGUUUCCUUGAGUACGCACAACGUUGGCGGAAUUCGUCGUGUAGCGGUGAAAUGCUUAGAUAUGACGAAGAACUCCAAUUGCGAAGGCAGCUGACGGGAGCGCAACUGACGCUUAAGCUCGAAGGUGCGGGUAUCAAACAGGAUUAGAUACCCUGGUAGUCCGCACAGUAAACGAUGGAUGCCCGCUGUUGGUACCUGGUAUCAGCGGCUAAGCGAAAGCAUUAAGCAUCCCACCUGGGGAGUACGCCGGCAACGGUG